AAAAUGCGAAAAGUCAUGCGAAUUGCAUUCUUCGUGAAUCAUUAAAUCUUUGAACGCACCUUGCACCUUUGACUUCCUUUCGGGGUCAUGGGUAUACUUGCUUGAGUAUCGUAUCACAUCUCACUCGAGGAUUGAUUGUCUUGCACGAUCAGAAUUGAGUGGACUUGAGAUCCUCGCUGGGGUAACCCAAGGUGCGAGUUUCUUUGAAGAAAAGCCUUGCGAAAAGAAUCUUACUCUAAUGGGAUAAGGCGAUCUUGGUCGUCAUCAUUAUUGUAAGUAAUCAACUCUUUUCCUAUACCGAGGCAAGCAGAACGAAAGGUACGUCCCUUUCAACUAAUACAACUCAUCGAUCUCAAGUCAAGUAAGAGUACCCGCUGAACUUAA
rnacentral:misc_RNA from 1 species